UACGUAGGGGACGAGCGUUGUCCGGAAUUAUUGGGCGUAAAGAGCGUGUAGGCGGCUCUGCAAGUCCUGCGUGAAAUCUCGAGGCUCAACCUCGAGCGGUCGUGGGAAACUGGAGGGCUAGAGUGCGGGAGAGGGAAGUGGAAUUCCAGGUGUAGCGGUGAAAUGCGCAGAUAUCUGGAAGAACACCCGUGGCGAAGGCGGCUUCCUGGAACGACACUGACGCUGAGACGCGAAAGCGUGGGGAGCAAACAGG
rnacentral:rRNA from 1 species